rnacentral:rRNA from 1 species
UACGAAGGGGGCUAGUGUUGCUCGGAAUCACUGGGCGUAAAGCGCACGUAGGCGGAUUGUUAAGUCGGUGGUGAAAUCCUGGAGCUCAACUCCAGAACUGCCUUCGAUACUGAGAGUCUUGAGUCCGGGAGAGGUGAGUGGAACUGCGAGUGUAGAGGUGAAAUUCGUAGAUAUUCGCAAGAACACCAGUGGCGAAGGCGGCUCACUGGUCCAUUACUGACGCUGAGGUGCGAAAGCGUGGGGAGCAAACGGG